rnacentral:tRNA from 1 species
GACCCGGUAGCUCAGUUGGUAGAGCAUCUGCCUUUUAAGCAGGGGGUCAUGAGUUCGAAUCUCAUCCGGGUCA